UUAAAAUAAACAUAUAUGAAUUGCACCUCAAUCCAAUUUUAAGAUAUUAUGAUGUUAGUGUCAUAAAUACAAUUGUCCUGCGGUGACUGCAGAUAUUACUGGGAACUAAAGCAGUUUGGUGCAACAGAAGGACCAAACAUUUUAGUCUCUCUUGAAUUCAAAUCUCAACCUCUCCAUGGACCAGCAGUAGAACAUUAGAAAUGUUGUUCAACAUCGCCAUAUUUCUGUGUUUCUAAAAUACCUGCCCCACAAGAUUAGUGUGAAGAUUAAAUUAAAUGCUGUCUGUGAAACUCAUAACAGGAUUAAGUGCUUGGGAAAGGUUUGUUUCCAUUUCUAAUAGCAGGUUUGACUCUUGGGAUAAGAUUAUUUCCUCCUCCUUAUGCUGGCUAACUCCUCCUCUUCUUCUGAGACAUAGACCCUGGGAUACCUUCUCUGGGCAGCUCUUGACCACCCCACCCUCCCGGUUGACUUCCAGAUGAGCUGGGCAUUUCUUCUGGCACUCCUGUGACACUGUGUUGACCUAUCUCAAAUCACCAGCCACUCUGCAUUCAUUGCUGUGGUUUGCCUCCUUGCCUCUGCCACUGGACUAGAAGAGUUUGGAAACGUCCAGAGACCAACUGUCAACUUCACCCUGUAACCCUUCACAGAUGUACACCCAAAGACUCAGAGAUACUCGGUAACUUGCCCAAGGUCACACAGACUGUAAGCAGCUCUCAACACCGCGUGGGACUUCUGCACAAGGAAAUUUCUCUUUGGGAGAAGUCACCAAGUUGCAUCCAGCACAUGGACUGGUUCUUUUACUCAUCCACAGGCUUCGAAGUCAAACAAAGGAAUUGAGUCCCAGGGAGUUAAAGAGACAAGCAGGAGAGAAGAACAAGAAGCUGGAUUGUCAUGAGUCUCAGAAAGAAACCUUCUUCAUACCUAUUUGACUCUAUAGAGAUGUGAUCUGUCUUCUGCAUAAGCUGAAAGAAUCAUCUGGAAUAACCACAGAAAAUCGGAUCACUGCCUUAGAUGUAGAUAAAAAGGCUGGCAGAAACCCAAAGGCAAGUACGCUAACUUCGGAUUCUCAGAGAGAUAAAAGUAGGCCGUUCAUCAGCAAAUCCACCUUGGUAGAGACAGGGUUUCACCGUGUUA